rnacentral:rRNA from 1 species
GACGAACCGAGCGAACGUUGUUCGGAAUCACUGGGCUUAAAGGGCGCGUAGGCGGGCCGCCGCGUCCGGGGUGAAAUCCUCCCGCUCAACGGGAGAACGGCCUCGGAUACGGGCGGCCUGGAGGGGGGUAGGGGCGUGCGGAACUGUGGGUGGAGCGGUGAAAUGCGUUGAUAUCCGCAGGAACUCCGGUGGCGAAGGCGGCACGCUGGACCCCACCUGACGCUGAGGCGCGAAAGCCAGGGGAGCGAACGGG